rnacentral:rRNA from 1 species
GACGAACCGUGCGAACGUUGUUCGGAUUUACUGGGCGUAAAGGGCGCGCAGGCGGCUAUCCAAGUCAGGCGUGAAAGCCCCGGGCUUAACCUGGGAGGUGCGUCUGGGACUGGGUGGCUAGAGUUCGGGAGAGGAGAGUGGAAUUCCCAGUGUAGAGGUGAAAUUCGUAGAUAUUGGGAAGAACACCGGUGGCGAAGGCGGCUCUCUGGACCGAGACUGACGCUGAGGCGCGAAAGCGUGGGGAGCAAACAGG